rnacentral:tRNA from 1 species
GGAGCUACAGCUCAGUGGUAGAGUGUGUGCUUAGCAUUUAUUGAGGUCCUGGGUUCAAUCCUCAGUAUCUCCA